UCCCGUGUGGCUCAGUUGGUAGAGCAUGGUGUUUGCAACGCCAGGGUUGUGGGUUCAAUUCCCACGGGGGAU
rnacentral:tRNA from 1 species